CCUACGGGCGGCAGCAGUGGGGAAUAUUGGGCAAUGGACGCAAGUCUGACCCAGCAACGCCGCGUGAAGGAAGAAGGCUUUCGGGUUGUAAACUUCUUUUAAGGGGGAAGAGCAGAAGACGGUACCCCUUGAAUAAGCUACGGCUAACUACGUGCCAGCAGCCGCGGUAAUACGUAGGUGGCAAGCGUUGUCCGGAUUUACUGGGUGGAAAGGGCGUGCAGCCGGAGAGAAAAGUCAGAUGUGAAAGCCACGGGCUCAACCCGUGAACUGCAUUUGAAACUGUUUCCCUUGAGUGUCGGAGAGGAGAUCGGAAUUCCUUGUGUAGCGGUGAAAUGCGUAGAUAUAAGGAAGAACACCAGUGGCGAAGGCGGAUUACUGGACGAUAACUGACGGUGAGGCGCGAAAGCGUGGGGAGCAAACAGGAUUAGAUACCCGGGUAGUC
rnacentral:rRNA from 1 species